CCCUAUGAUGCCCCCGCGGUCCCUCCACUCGCAGCUCCUCAUGGCUGCCUCCGCCUGUUCUGUCGCCGCCCCGGCCGGCGGGAACUCGGGCCUCCUCCUCGCCGCGGCCGGAGAGAAAAGGCCACGGCUACAAAGCCGCCCGCGCCGGCGGCGGCAGCGGCCGGAGCUUGGCGGAGUACUCCGGUGGGUGUACCACCUCGGUCUCAACUACAUCGGCCAUGCGUACCUUCCUCAUCAACUUCUUCCUCUCCCCUGUUCUCUUGUUCCUCUCUCGUGAGGAGCAGUUAGACUGAUGAUUUGGGAUUUGUUAGGGUUCAAAUCGAGAUUGUAGGUGUUCGAUGUUGAAUUGAGAUGUAUGUGGCUUGGAUUUGAGGAUUAUCUAUUGAUUAGGGUUCCAAGUUCAGGGUCUUUGUAGUUGUUGAACUGAGAUCGACGAGUGGGGUGUCAAUCAGAGGCCUAGGCUGUUGUGUCAUCGACCUCGAUUGCAAAUAAUCUCCAGCAGUCAGGUUUUAGAUGUUGGGGAUUCUCUUCCCCUGUGUCUGUCCAUUACCCCCCAUAUUAUUUGACGAGUAUAAGUCCUGUUGUUCUCUCAGCCCCCCUUGUUUUUGGAAAUUUGAUCUUUGUUUUUGGACGCUUACUUCAGAGUUGUUUUUUCACUGUUAAUUCACACAUUCGUGUGCUGUUUGUCUUAUUUUCCAUGCCUUUAAAAUGGCAUCACCGUGAGCAUAAACCUAUUUCUAUGUGCAUUUAAAUAUUAUUUUACUUAUGUUCAGGAUGUGUAUGGAUCGUUUGCAAGAUGUGCACACCUCUCAUUGCGGUUUUGGUUAGUCUUACAUGUGGUUUUGAAUCCUGAACACCAGUAAACCCUAAACCAAUGCUUGUGAUGCGCUAACUGAUCUUAAAUAUUGUAUUUAAUUUAUCCAAUUUCAAUUUACAUUUUGGCCACCUGAUCACCUGUGCUUGUAAUGAACCAACAUUGGCCUCAAAUAUCUGCAGUCUGAUAGAUGUUGUCAAGGUUGUAGUUCUAUUUGCCUUUUGUUUUCAUCAGACUAGAAGUUGUCAAGGUCAGAGUUUUUAUCUGCACUGUUACAGUUUUGGCUUAGAGAAAGUACCAGGUGAAGUAUGUUUGCCAUCUAUUUAUCUCAUACCCCUACUUGCAUUGGCUUGAAAUAUCUGAAGUGUUGUAUUUAAUCUGUCUAGUGGAAUUUGAUAUUUUGCCAAGCUGCAAGCUGUGUGUAAGCUGUCUAUUCUUAUUCAACUGUUAUCUGUGAGAAAUGUUGUCAAAUAGACCAUGGAAUUUGAUGUUUUCUUUUGUUCAGCUAUCAAGCUUCUUAAAAAUACACUUGGUGUCUCUUGUUUUCUGACUGUAUCUCACAAUGUAUUAAGUUAAGUAAAAGAGAUUUUUUUGCAAAACUUCUUGCAUAGCUAUUACUAUCGCUACUUUGCCACCGGAGAGUGUUCCUUUCGGCAGCUAGAUUUUUCUUGUAUAUGCUAAUUAGCAAGCUAUAUCUCUUAGAUUGGGCCCCUCUGGAUGACUUCAGGGUCUGUCACUUAUCUAGACUAAACAUUGUUUCAUCCACCAAGCUACAAGGUAACAUAUAUUUGAUUGUUGGUCUAGUAGUUUAUAAGCUGAGGAACUACCAGGUCCAGUUUUUUUAUUUGGCAUCUAUGCUUGUGAUGCUCCAUCUUUUACUUGGAUUAUCUGCACUCUGAUAUGAAAUGUUUCAUUUAAUCUGGUCAGUUGCAAUCUAUAUAUUUUUGCCAUCCUUUUGCUUUCCGACUCUGAGUGGGGCUUCGUUAAAUGUUGACAAAUACAACAAUGUUUACCUAGACUUGAAUUGAUGUGAUAUAUAUAGAUUGCUUGCAACUUCACUUCUUUCUCAAAUUGUAAUUACAUCCAGUGGAUCGUUUACUCUAUUUUGCAAUAUAUAGUUUGUACAUACAAUUAACACUAUAGUUUGCCCUGUCUGAUUUCCUGAGUCAUCUAGUACUACUGCAAUUAGAAGUAGAGCAUUUUGGUCCAUGUGAACUCAUUCAAAUACGCUACUCUAUGACUGAAUGUUUUUCCUUUCUUGCCUGUCCUAUCUCUUUUAUUGGUUUACUCAUUCCAGGUUGAAAGCGUCAUUCAUUGAAACUUUGAAUUACAAAUAGCUUAUACUAGAAUUACAACCUGACUCAUUAUUGUAGUUUUCUUGGUUGUUACUGUAAAAUGAUAGAGCAGCUUGUAUUUUGGUUACUGUAAUUUUCUCACAUCAGUUCUUCAUAUAGCUGUAUUUGGGAUAGGUUGUGGAAACAUGAUUGUUGAUAUAUCCAAAUCACAUUAUGGGAGAAUAUUUGAAGUAGGGCCAAUUACAUUGCUAAAUGUUCUUUCAUAUUAGCUUAUUCAAAUUGACUUUUUGCAACACUAAUUUCCUAUUUAUUAGCAAUCUGACCAUUCUCUGUGUUCCAUAACCUAACAGAUUGGUUCCUCUUCCUAUGUCCAUUAUAUUUUUAUGACAGUAACCCAUGUCUCGUGUUAAGUAUGUAGUGUCGAGUCUUUGUGUAUCUUUCUAUUUUAAUUCAGUUAGCAGCUCCUAGUCUUUAGGGAGUGGAGUCAGGAGAGCUACUUGUUCUCCUCAGGAUGUAUCCUCAGUUUUUAGAGGCCAUCAUGGCCAUUAGCAUCUUCCACUAAGGCCUUCUUUUACCGUUCUAUAUGUAAGAGAACAAGAUAAUACCAAAGCUGUGGUUGCAACAAAAAUACUAGCGUGUCUUACUCUUUUAGUUUGGUGAGUUGAGAGCUUAAGAUUUAUUGUGGACUCAAUCUGCAAAUACACCCUCCUUAGUGUUGUAAUUCUGUAGUUUGUUACUAUAAAAUAUAAUAGUGAAAUACUUCACUAGAAUUUUAGAUGCCAAAUAUACCCAAGUAUUUUAGUUUCUCCCUGACCUGUUACUUUCUAGGAUUGCAGGAAUGGAGUUGAUGAGAUGAGGAGAACUCAGGUGAAGAACUCUCUUUCACUGCAAAUAUUCAUCUUAGAAUUUAGUAUGUUUUUUAAUAUUAUAUGAACAUACUUUGAGUUUAAAGUUUUUUCUGCACAUACUUUAGUUUCAGAGUUUUGCAUUUCUAUUUUGGUUACCAUAGAAGAUUUUUUUAGAGGCUAGGGGAUUAUUAGUUUGAUAUAUUUACUCUUACUUUUGUUAAUGAGUAGUAUGGUCUUACAUACAGUAUUUGUUCAUUGUGGUUGCUGAUUGGUUAGUUUUGUUUUUGGUUAAUUAGCACUCCUGAUCAAUGUCUAGAAAACUACAAGUAACUUAUACUAUAAUUACACUCACAUUUAAUAAUAUAAUUUUCUAGUUUAAUUAUCAAAAUUGUGAAUUAAUUAGGGAGCAUUUCUGUCUUAUGAAAGUACAAGUUACCCUUUAUUGUACACUGAUUUUCACACUAUAUUAUAUUUGUGAGAUAUAAUGGCCAACCUUUAUAGUAGAUUCAUUAUUUUUCAAGUGUUGCAGCGCUCUUGUGUCUUUGGUUUGGGAGCUAUCAGCUGUGCUUGCCAGGUGUUUGACGAAAUUCCACAUUUCCAAGGGGCAGGAUAAAGAUAGUCUACCAUUGGUAUGCCCAUCAUGCACGACUUGUUCUGUAUGCUCUCAUGGUCUUAUUCUUGUCUUCUUUGUGAAAAUAAAAACUAAUAGCAGAAUUGGCUGUCUAUUUGUAUUGAGAGGCAUUGGUCUCUAGUAUUCAUAGGAAUUUUUUCAGACAAUGUUUAUCCCCUUUAUGAUUCUUCAAAGUUGUCUGUGUUCAUGUUUUACUUCGAAGGUACUCACUAAGUCUGUAUAUGUCUUGGCUAGCAAUAAUCUUUGUAUUACUACACAAAGAAUCUUCUCAAGUCGUAGCAUUAAUAAUUAUAGUCCAACUGAGAAAAAAAAUUACUAUAGUAUGUUGUGCUGUAAUUUCAUAAAUGCUUUUGUGUAACUGCAAUAUUUUUCUUUUCUUCAUUAGUUUGAUUGUUAUUUUUUGUGCUUUAUUUUUUCUAAAUAAAUUACUCAUAUUGCUUGUGCACUCUUUCCAUGGUUAUCAGUCCUUGCAAUCAUAUAGGAUAACUAAUAUAUUAUGGAACCAGGGAUCUCAAGUUUUACCAUUGGCACUGCAGAGCAUUAUUAGUGAGGGCUUUGCUGUGGAUAUACAUCUAGGUAUUCCAUGAAUUCAGAAGACUAAAUUAGUUCUGUCAUGUAAAAAUCAUAUAUGAUUUUCAGUAUAAUUUUCUCAUUUGUUACUGUAAAUAUGAAAGUCCAGGUAUUUUGAUAGGCAUGUGAGAUCUAUAUUUUUCUCAUUUAUUACUGUAAAUAUGAAAAUCUAGGUAAAAAUGAUGUCCAUGCGUGUGUGUGUUACUUAUGUGCACUCAUCAAUGUAAAUAUGCUAGGUUUUUUUGUGCACAAGUUAGUGGGUGAGGUUUCUCAUGUCUAGCUUUUUUAUAUCCAGAAACUAAUUAUUAAAUGUUGAAUUUUGUUACUUGUUAUUUCCAUAGGUGCUCGUACGGAUAUAGUCUAAUAUGACUGCUCCAUUUCUCAGUGCUACCAUGGCCGAUGGUGUUGUCAUUCUUGGUCAUGGCCUUCCUAUGUUGUGUGACAGUAAGGUGAGUGGUCACUUCAUUUCUGUCCCAACUACUUUUGACCUAGACUUCUAGAGCUGGACAAGCUAGUAUGGUAGUGUCUCUGUAUUGUAUAAUUUUACUUGGUGUUCCUUUUUAUUUCAUUUUAUCUCUGAAUGCACAGACAUAAUUUUAGGCUCGUUUUUUAUUCAAAAAUACUAUGUGUUAAUAGUACCUGGUACUGACUGAUUGGACCACAAUUGGCCAGUCUAUUAUUUUUCAAAUUUUCAUUCAAAAGAUAUGAACUGCAUUGCCCUUACACUAUUGUUGGGUCUAUUGCCAACAGAUACUUCAUAGCAGCCUGAAUAAAUCUAACGGGUGCAACACAUUAUAUAGCGGACCUGUUAGGGACAGGCACACACUAUAGGAAUAUUAAGACUUGUAUGCGGAGGCAAGCACUCUACAGGAAAGAUGGGUGACUUACAGGAAAAUAAUAUAUAAGUCAUUUUAUGCAAAAAAAGACAGUGACUUAUACAUAAGCAAAAGUAAGUCACUUGACAAUGUUUUUGUCGAUACUACUACUCUCAUCUUCCUAUCCUUCACUCCAUAUUUAUUGUUCUAGAGUUAUUGCGGGUGAUCUCGAGUUGUCUGUGAUCGGCUGAGGAUUCUUGUUGAUAUAGAGUUUCAGAUUGUGAUCUCUCACACAUACAUCACUUUGAAAUCCAGAUGGGCCGCCGUUAUUCAUUUAACUGUAGAUUUAGUUUUGCUUUAUUGAUUAUUGGCUCUCUAGUGAGGAUGAUACACUUUUUGGAGUUUCUGUUGUAGCUUACUAUUUUUGUUUCAUAUGACUAGAUCUGAUUACUUUCUGGGAUUUGUAGGAUUGGAGUUGAUCAGUUGAGGGAAGGAGAACUCAUGUGAGGAAUUUUGUCUUUUCAUGGAAAUGUUCAUUUUACAAUUUAGUAUGCUUAUUUGUAGUUUGUUCAAUACUGUUAAUUAAUGUUUACUUUGAAUUUA